rnacentral:rRNA from 1 species
AGCGAACGCUGGCGGCGUGCCUAACACAUGCAAGUCGAACGUGAAAAGGGAAACCUGAGUAAAGUGGCGUACGGGUGAGUAACGCGUAGGCAAUCUACCCCAGAAUCUGGAAUAACCUGCCGAAAGGCGGGCUAAUACUGGAUAGAGCGAGGGAACUCGUAAGAGAGUUUUUCGGGAAAGGGAGCCCGCAAGGGCCUUCGUUCUGGGAUGAGCCUGCGUCUCAUUAGCUAGUUGGUAAGGUAACGGCUUACCAAGGCGAUGAUGAGUAGCUGGUCUGAGAGGAUGAUCAGCCACACUGGAACUGAAACACGGUCCAGACUCCUACGGGAGGCAGCAGUGGGGAAUCUUGCGCAAUGGACGAAAGUCUGACGCAGCCACGCCGCGUGAGUGAAGAAGGCCUUCGGGUUGUAAAGCUCUGUCGGAUGGGACGAACAUCUUCAUAGUGAAUAGCUAUGAGGACUGACGGUACCAUCAAAGGAAGCACCGGCUAACUCCGUG